UUUCAGCGACUAGAAAAUAAGGAACUAGCCAUCUCAUAAACCAUAUUAUUUAAUCUUAUCCACUAGUUGAUGGUGAAGUUAGAAAUAGGUUUAUAUCAACAAUUAGGAAAAAACCUGUGGAAAAUUUCGUGUUUGAUCUAAAAAAACUAAAGAGCUUAUGAUAAAAUAUUUCAUCCAUGCUGAGAUACCAUUCCAUAAAAUUGAGGAUCCCUACUUGGAUGAUUGGAUGGCGUCCAUGCAGCCAACCUUUAAACUUGUGGGCCGUCAAUCAAUCCGUGACAAGAUUUACAACUAUUACAAUAGGCUGAAACAAGAAUUGCAUGCUGAAUUAGAAAAUCUUGAUUCGCGUGUAUGCCUAACAUCGGACAUGUGGACCUCAAAUCAAAACUUAGGAUACAUGGUUGUCACGGCCCAUUAUGUUGAUGCAGUAUUCAAAAUAAAAAGAAAAUUAUAAGUUUGAAGCCUCUGAAGUAUUCACACACUAGUUUUGCAAUUGAAGAAGCCAUGAUGAGGUGUUUGACUGAGUGGGGCUUAAGUAGCAAGCUGUUCACCUUGACUUUAGACAAUGCUAGUAACAACACCGUUGCUUGUCAAGAAUUAGUGAAAACUCUUAAGGAUGAGUUGGUUUUGGAAGGUAAACAGUUUCAUGUGAGGUGUUGUGCACACAUCUUCAAUUUGUUGGUUCAAGAUGGAAUGAGGGUGAUUCAUGUGGCAAUAGAUAAGAUCCGUGAGAUCCUAAAGUACAUUGAGCAUUCACCCUCACGCAUUCAAGCGUUUAAUUCAAUUGCUUCUAGUAAAAGUCUUCCUCCAAAAUCUGGUUUCGCUCUUGAUGUACCAACCCAUUGGAACUCGACCUUCAAGAUGAUUAGAGAAAUAUUGUCUUACAAAGCUGUCUUCAAUAGCUAUACCUCUGAAAAUUGUGAAGUUCUACCAACUGACCAAGAAUGGUUGCAGGCUGAAUCAAGAGUGAAGUGCAUCAGCGGUCCCUAAACUUGUGCGGAUGUGUCAUCUAGGUCCCUAAACUCUCAAAAUGUAUUUUUAUGUCCCUAAACUUGUCUUAGGUGUCAUAUAGGUCCAAACGGGCACCGACCCGCUCCAUCCGCUGACGUGGCAUGCCACGGUAGCGCCUACGUAUCAGUGGGGACUCACAUGUCAGUCAUAUUUAUAAUAUGAUAUGAUAACAAUAUUUACAGAAAGAACCUUACAUGUUUUAAACUUACUCUAAUCAAAUCCUGUACGUGCUAAUGGAGCGGAGCCCACCUGUCAUAGGCACAGGGAGAAAGCAGCAGCAGCCGCAGAGUUCGCCGGCCGGCGUUCCUUCAAGACGAUGCCGUUGACGAACGGCGAUUCUUCGGCCGACACAACCACAAGAAGAAAUGCUGAGGACUUCCUUGUGAUCCUGUUGAAGGUGGUCUCGUCGCUAGAGGUGGCCGGAAUCGAUGCCAGUGGUGUCGCGAGCGGCGGUGGUCUUCAAUACGCCUGUGCAUGUAGAGUCCCAGCCCGAUUUAGUGCAAAAAAAUGCAUGCAUGCGAGUCUAGCAGGUCCCUGAGUGCUCACUGGAACUUGAUUGCGGCAUGGCGAGGUCUGGGUAACAGCGGUAAUGGAAAAGACAGCCCGGCGGUGGUGGAUAACGUCGGCUUCACGGCGACGGCUCGCUUGAGCGGUGGAAUGCUUAGAGAAGGUGCAUGGGUGGUUAGUGAGGUCCCUAAAGAGUUGCAUGCACGAUUAAUUAGUCCGUGGCUCACCGGGGAGAGAGGAAUUGGCGAUGGCACUCGGCGACCGGAGUUGGAGAAGAUGACGGCGAUCUCCCUCGUCUGUGCACGAUUCUUAAAAUUUCUUGAGGGCUUUUGGCCAUGAUGGUGAGGCGAUGACUUUGGCGCGAUGGCUUGGCUUGAGAUGGACCAUGUCGACCGGAACAGCGACGACGUCAUGGCGGCGGCGCCUGGUGCGAGUUCCGGAGCUCUCAUGGGCAAGGUCGCGUUUCCGUUGCUGCAGUGGAUAAAACGAGAUGGGGUCAAAAGGAGAUUUGCUCGGCAUGAUGUGGGAAGUUUGGAAUGGGAAAGAUUUGGCGAUAGAGACGACUUGUCGGCAACAGCGAGCGUCAUCUUCUUCACGAUUGACGACGAGAAUGUGGGCGACGGAGAGGCAUAGGGCUCUCUCUCGUCCGAGUAGUUCGGCUCCAGAAGAAUGUAGAAGAGAAGGCGACACGUCUGAGGAAGAAAAGGGAGGAGCUCAGCGUUGCCACGUCCUGGCCACGCGUGAUGCGUCGAGCACCGCCGGCGUCUCUCUUUCCUGCUCUCUCUCUCUCUCUCUUGGCUCCCAGGGCGGUGGAGAUGAUGCACAGAGCUGACAUGUGGGUCCCAACUGACCCGUAGCGUUACCGUGGACACCACGUCAGCGGAUGGAGCAGAUCGGAGCCCGUUUGGACCUAUAUGAUACCAAAGACAAGUUCGGGGACCCAAAAAUGCAUUUUGAGAGUUUAAGGAUCCAGAUGACACACCCACACAAGUUUAGGUACCGCUGGUGCACUUCACUCCUGAAUCAAUAUGUGAAUUUCUUAAGGCUUUUGAAGAGGUUACUAGAGGUGUGUCAGUGUUGGCAGCUGUUAAGUACCAAAUUAACGCCGUCAAUACCUGCAUAAGACCAUAAAUAUAAAACAUCCAACAUAGUGGUAGGGUUUAUUCCUAACAAUUUCCAUGAGUGUUGGUGUAUAUUCAUAUGCAGGUGACAAACAACCUAAGUUGAGAAGAAAUAUAUAUGAAGGAGGAGGAGAAUCAAACUCGUAUCCGAACUUAUGGAGUUUUGGACACAAAAACCCAAUUAAACACCUCCAAAUGGGCCAAACAUCCAUACCAAUAAAAUGAGGGGCCCAAAAUGAGUGUCCAGGCCGAAAACCGGGGCCAACGGAGCCAGCCAGGGUUCGGCCGAACCCUGACAGAGGCCACUGGCCUAGGCCCAGUUUGCGUUUAGUAGCAAACCGCUCCCCAAUGAUGGUUAUGGGCGUUUUCACCGGUGGAAACCGUCAUAAAAUGGACACUUGGCUCAUGGAGGAUGAAGAUGCCCAUUGGAUGCCAUGGAGGAUCUCUACACUCCCAAGCAAACUCACACUAUAAAUACCCCUCUCAUCCUUCAUUCCAACACACACCAAAGCAUGAGCUGAAUUACAAGAGACUCUAUUGUACUUUUUUGUAUACUAGAUUAGGGAGAGAGUAGAGUAGAGGAAGUCGGAGAAAUUCCGGAGUUGUCGGUAAUCCUCUUCUUAUUUCUUUUAUUUUGUUAAUUACUUCUGUUUUAAUUGAAUAUCAUUCUGAGUAAUUAAGAUUUAUUCCGUGAGAGUUACCUCUUAGUUAGUUUUAAUCAACGUACGAAACAUUGUUCACUAUAGUCCAUUAAAAUAUAGUGAUUGCUUGAGAGAGUUAUAAACACUAAAGUAGUUAUUAACUGCGCAGACGUGGUGGCUGGGUAGUUAAUUUCUUAUGUUUGCUUCGUAUCCCAAAGUAGGUUUGAGGUAGGUGUAGAGGUGGUGACAGAACUCAAGUACACUAAAGUCCUCUCUAUCCAGGUACGUUGUAGAGCCAUAUCUGGGAGCAGUGGGCUGACCAGCGCCUGAAGCACCGCGUUAGGAUUAAAUAGAGGUUUUUGUAGAUACUGUCUCUCACUAGUAAAUCCUCUCUACCUUUAGCCUAUCUUAACUUCAUGUCCUUAAUGAAUCUGGAGAAGAGCUGACACACACGUUCUCUGUGGAAAUCGAUACCUUGGAAUACUCCUGGGUGAAGUGCUACAUCGGUAUCUUCUGUGCGCUUGCGGAUUCUAUCUGUGACUUUAAGAAAUACCAACAGUCAGCUCAUAGGACACCAGCUGCACACACAUUCUUGCCCCAUAUUCUUUGUAUAUGUCAUGCUUUAAGUGAUCCUGAUUGGCAAACCAGCGAUGUUUUGACACGAUUGGCUGGUCCUAUGCACACUAAGUUUGCAAAAUAUUGAGAUGAAAAAUUGGCAAACAACUCCAAUUUGGCACUUGUUAUUACCACUGUGUUAGAUCCAAGAAGGAAAAGAGACUAUUUAGAUUUUUUUUUUUAUGAGAAAGUGUCUCCCCAUGGGUUUAAUGUUGAAAGUAAGGUGGACUCUAUUAUAGAGGAGAUGAAAUCAUACUUUCGUGUAUACGAAGGAAUUGCAAGAAAAAGGAGUGUAUCCUACAUGUCACAGUCUAAUGAGGGAGUGUUGUAGGCUCACUAGUUUUGGGCAAAAGAAAGCUUAGAGCAUGAAUUCACCCUCUUCAAGUCAAACUGGAAGGUUGCACGUACUCACAAGACAAAGAUUGAUACAUAUUUAGAAGUGUGUGAGGAUGAUAGUGAGGAUUUUGAUGUUUUGGCAUGGUGGAAGAAAAAUGCCAAGAAGUUUCCUGUGUUGGCAAUUAUGGCUCGAGACUUUCUUGCAAUUCCACUUAGCACUGUGCCCUCAGAGUCUGCUUUCAGCAGUGGAGGAAGGAUUCUUGGAAACACAAGAAGUUCAUUGACACCAGAGAUGCUCGAGGCACUUGUUUGUGCGAAAGAUUAGCUGUAUAGGUGCUCGAGGCACUUGUUUGUGCUAGACUUUCUUACAAUUCCACUUAGCACCGUGCCCUCAGAGUCUGAUUUCAGCAGUGGAGGAAGGAUUCUUGGAGACACAAGAAGUUCAUUCAGAGAUGCUCGAGGCACUUGUUUGUGCGAAAGAUUAGCUAUAUAGGUGCUCGAGGCACUUGUUUAUGCGAAAGAUUAGCUGUAUAGAGCCAAAAAACAGGGGGAUUAAAGGUAUAAUAUCUGUCACAUUUGCUUAUUUAUUGGACCAUUGCUGCUGCCUUGAUUUAGGAAUAUUAGCAGUUACUCCUAGAACUUUUACAUUUUAGCAGUUAUUUAAAAAAUGCAUAAGUCCCUAUGUUAUAUGUAUAUGUGUGUGCUUAGACUUGUGAUUGACUUGGUUUGUCUAAAGGUAGUACAGCACCUCUAGCUUGCUGCAUGUUGAUGUUUACGACAACACUGUAUUGUAAUGUGCAGUGCAUUAAUUAGUUAACAAUUCUAUAACUAUUUGUCAAGUGAUGGUCCUCUACCAGGCCAAAUCCUUGCAUGUUUUGUGGUGUAUAUACUUUCAGCUCUCCUUUUGACAACUCCGGUUCUUUUGUGGUGAGCCAACUAACCAUUGUGAAGAAUAUGUAAUUUGGGUAGGAGGAUUUCUUUUGGCUAGGGGAAGUAUGUAAUUGGCAUUAUCAAUAGUUCUUUUAAAUAGCAUGAAAAAUCUAUGUAAUUCACAUUUGGCUUUUAAAUAGUGCUGGAAAUCUGUAGUGCUGGAAACCUCAUGUAUCGAUAAAUUAGAUUAGACAUUUUUUAUGCUUCUCUCGUGUGGCAAUAUAUUGCCAAAUUUUUACGGUGAGGAACUGAUUGUUCUUGUUGUGAUAAAUCAUAAAUGAGAAUAACUUACUACAUUUCUUUGAUGGUGUUAUGUUCUUUCAGGUAUUUGCUUCCUGUAAUCAAAGAACUGUAACAGUUUCCGUGAUUUGUGGCUCAUGUGAGGUUCUUCAUGUUGACAAGUUUAGAGAAGAAACUAAGGGAAGUCAGCUGAUUGACUGAUCAGAAGAUGGAUACUACUUAACAAGUGACUCCCCAAUACCUCAGGGAGAGAUUGUCAUUGGUGGUCCUAAUGUAAUUUCAAGAAUGAAGCUAAAACGAAUGAAGUAUUCUAGCUCCUCCGAACUGCAAAAGUAGCAAGUAUUUGCUUGCCCAAUCAUAUGAGUUGUGUAUUCAUGUAAUAUUAAGAAAGUUCAGUAAAGUCUGAUUAAUUUAGGCUGUGCUCAGCGAAGUGAGCAUAGCUCAACUGGUUAGGUUCCUUGUGGUGGAACCAGCCCACCCGGGUUCAAAUCCUAGAUUUGACACGGGUGCUCGCAUUUACGGCUAAUUAUUCUUUCAGUGGUAGGCGACGUACCCGUCGACAGCGAGGCGCCUGUGGUGACUUCGUCAAUCUCAAGAUAUGCCGGCCCAGUCUUCCGGAGGUGCUCAUAGGAGUAGGGUGUGCGUGUGUGCGUUCAUAGGGGUGAGUGUGCGCAUGUUGUGAGCGCCUGCGUUUGUACUGUGUUUCUCAAAAAAAAAAAUUAGGCUGUGCUCAGUUAAUUUUCAUCUGGAUUUAUUUGCAAAUUUAAUGAGAAGCAUGACGUAUAUAUUAUUGUUUGACCA